GUAAACGUGCUGGGCUCAGACUGAGGCGCUCAGAGAGAGGAAGCUGGAGGAGUCUAAAUGAUGUUGAAAGUCUCCAGACUGAUGGAGCGCACAUGUGAGGCUGAAUGAAAUGGAGAUCAUGAACAGGAGAGCAGAUAGGUGACCGAAAGCAGGAGAAAGAGACGGGUCAGCUGAGCCGCUGUGUUCCAGUUUAGAUGGAAGGUGUUUGGCAGACUGACUGGGGAGAUGUUUGCCGCCACAGAAUCUGUUUUCCUGAGCCUUAGAGAUCGAGACUGCCGUUGAUCCUCCGUGGGUGUCCAGUGGGAUAAACCCAAGACAAAAGUAAUGUCUUCUGAAAUAUCCUGUCCUACCUUUGGAGGCUCGGGCGCGUAAAAAACUGAACCGCAGCUGAGCGCGCAGCCAUGCGCACCCUUUCCGGCUGUGCCUAGUCUGACCUUCGUGCGUUAUGCUGAAUGGACCCACUUUCCGCCGCUACGACCCGAUGCGACUGGUCGAUCCAAGGCACCUCCCGCAACUGAUGUCCCUGGAGGACCAUGAGCCCACCAUGGCGGGAGGGACCCUGGAGCCGCGCAAUUCCACGGCAGCGGCGGGCGAGGAGGGUGCCCCGGGUCAGCAGCAGCACUCCUUCCCGUGGGUGGCCACCGUGCUGGCCGGCGUCCUCAUCACGACCAUCGUGGUGGAUGUUAUCGGGAACCUGCUGGUGAUCGUGUCGGUGUUCAGGAACAGAAAACUCAGGAAAGCAGGAAAUGCCUUUGUGGUUAGCCUGGCCUUUGCUGACUUGGUGGUGGCCAUCUAUCCGUACCCACUGGUCCUGACAGCCAUCUUCCAUAAUGGCUGGAUUGCAGGUUACAUCCACUGUCAGAUCAGCGGCUUCCUCAUGGGCCUCAGUGUCAUCGGCUCCAUCUUCAACAUAACCGGCAUCGCAAUCAAUCGAUACUGCUACAUCUGCCACAACCUCAAGUACGACAAAGUUUUCUCCAGCAGCAACACUAUGUGCUACGUUAUGCUUGUCUGGACGCUCACAAUCCUAGCCAUCGUGCCCAAUUGGUUUGUGGAGUCGCUGCAGUACGACCCGCGGGUGUACUCCUGCACCUUCGCGCAGUCGGUUAGUUCGCUCUACACCAUCACAGUGGUGGUGGUGCACUUCAUUCUGCCCAUGAGCAUCGUCACCUAUUGCUACCUGCGCAUCUGGAUUCUGGUGAUCCAGGUCAGACGGAGGGUAAAGCCGGACUCACGGCCCAAAAUCAAACCGCACGACCUUCGCAACUUUCUCACCAUGUUCGUGGUGUUCGUGCUAUUCGCCGUGUGCUGGGCGCCGCUGAACCUGAUUGGCCUGGUGGUGGCGCUGGACUCCAGGCUGAGCCGAGCCAUCCCAGAGUGGCUGUUCACAGCCAGCUACUUCAUGGCGUACUUCAACAGCUGCCUCAACGCCGUCAUCUACGGCGUCCUGAACCACAACUUCAGGAAGGAGUACAAGAGGAUCGUCCUGAUUAUCUUCAAGUUUCACUGCUGAGAUAAAAUGCCCAGAGCUAGAAGUGUUUUUUUAACAUCCAAGAAACGAUUAUUAAAAAGCCAUGAGCAAAAGAAAUAAAAGACUACAAGAAAAGGGGACAAAUACAAACAACACUGUGAAAGGAAGAAGCAGGAACAUGUAGUAUAAGAGCAAAACAGCUCUAGGUGAAGAGGAGGACAAAGAAGAGAUUUUCAGCCAUUCUGUAGAUGUUCUGCUGUUUGAGACCACUGCCAUGUUGAUGACUUCAGCUGUCGAACAGAUGGCCUCAAAUCUGAGACUAGAAUACUUUGUUUUACAGAGAAGUUUCUGGUUGAAACAAUGAUCACAAGGAGUCCAGGUUGUGCUUGGAUUUCUCCAACAUAUUGUGAUAAAUUGUGGCUAAAAUCUCUUCUUGCAUUUCAUCUGUCCAAAGGAUAUUCUGUCAGACUUUUGGUGGUUCAUUAAGAUGGAACUUUCCACAUAUAAGGUGUGCUGCUACAUUGUCUAGAGUGAACAAUCUUUUAACUUGUCUAAACAAGCCAUAUUUGCUCAGUAUUUUUUCUAAUUGAUUUAUAAUGAACUAUAACAUUCAAAGUGCUAACUGAGCGCUGCACUGGAGGUGCUUAAAGGAGUGUUUUCAUUAUCCGUUUCUGGGCAUUUCUGUCUUUCUUAAUUCAUUUGAAACCAACAAAUGUGGUCUUUAUGUUUCCCAAGACUAAAUGGAAGCUAUAGAUAUCCUUUCAUUGAAGCCACAAAAGUAGUGGAAACUAAACAAGUCAUUUCCCUAACCACUACUGAAAAAAAAGACCAUAAAACUAUCUCAGUGAAAUCAGUGAGGUGAAAAAAAUAGGCUCUUUAAAACUCCAGAAUGACCUCAUUAGGCAUUUAAAUCAGGCAUCACAACAUCAAAUUCACCCUUUCCAAAGGCUGCAAAUCUUUGAAAACACUGUAGGCAUUUCACAAAAUGAUAGGAAUUCUCUUAUUCCAAGGUGAUCCAUCAGCUUAACCGUAAAUCUUUGUUUUUUGGUUGAUUUCUUCCACCUUUCCAAAGAAACUGGAUAACCUUGCUUGGGAGGAUUGCCAACACCCUGCUGUGGACCCUCACUCUAAAAUAAUCUGUCCAAGUUACCAUGCUUCAUUACUAACAUAAAAAAUCUUUAUUCUGCCAUGUUUCUGCUCACCAUGAUCACCGUUUCCAAUCACUAUCAGUUCUAACAAUUGUCUUUCUUCGGCCUGUUGUUGCCUUCACUUGCUCUGUGUUAGUCUAAUUGUGUUACAUUUUGAGCUUGUAUUGUAUUGAUAUCUGUGGGUAAAAGUUUUCAAUUAAAAUAAAAAAGACCAAAAUCUCAUCGGUCAAGAAAUUCCCCCCAAAUAUAGAAAAUCCAACAUUGCACCACAUGUAGAAGAGGAUAAUGUUUUUGUUUUUUUUUAAACUGUAUUUAUUAUUAUUUUUCACAUUAUAACCACAAUCUUAAAUGGAUUUUAUUAGAAUUUCAUAGGGUAAACCAACUAAAAGUUGUUUUUGUGUUGGUUUGUCACAGUGUAUUAUGUUCCUUCUACUUUACAAUAAUGUGCUACUUUAAGUUGGUGUAUCUUAUAAAUUACAAUAAAAUACAGUGGAGUUUGUGGUUCUAAUGUCACUAGAAGUGAAGGGGUUUAAAUGAGAAUGAUUUAGAUUUAAGAUUAGAUUUGUAAAGCACUGCAGUCUAAAGCACAGGUGCCUACUGUCAGUUAUCAAAGGGCACCGUCCUACAUGUUUCAUUUGUUUAUUUGAGGACUUUUUGCUGUGCAGCACUUGACAGCCUGCUGAUUGAAUCCUCUCUACUGAACCAGGAAAACAUUUAAAACAUGUAAGACACUGGCCAUCGAAAAGAGAAAGACAGGAAACCACUGGGCUAAUGAUUCUUUACUUACAGUCCAUUAUAGACCAUUUUGUUCUCUUUGGCGUAUGAUGAUCUGCAGUAACUGACCACAAAACUUCAGUUUCGAAUUUACAUCAAAAAAUUGUAUCCCGUCUAGAAAUUAAAAGGCUUGUCCCAAUUGUUCUGUUUUCUGCUUAAGAUAAGUGGGUAUAAUUUGCUCUAACUGGACUGUAUAACAUAAACAUAAUAGAAUAAACUCAACCAUAACAAUAAUGUGAAUCAUUAUAGCUUUAAAGUAAGUGCUCAUCAAAGUGUAAAGUACUUUGAUAAUGACCUUUCCUUGAGUUGAUAUAUCCUGGAGCAGAUACAUGAACGGUAAUCUAACAUUCUCACAUUCUGCAGAAAGUAAAUGAGGCAUCUGCAUUGGCUUUUCGGAGGAGUCCAAUGAGAGUAGUUGCAAAUUUAAUUGGUCCACUGAGGAUGCAAAUAUAUACAAUCAGCCUUUUACCUGUAGUUAUGUGCAUUAACUAAUGAGGUAUUUUUCUUGUUAGUGCUGAAGAACAAUGCAAUGAGCCAAGCUUUGUUGACGUUUUGUGUAUUUGGAACAGCAGCAGCAAAAAAAAAAAGAAAAUUUAAUGCUGUGUCCGUAUGUGUGGUCCAAGGCCAGCCAGCUGCAAUAGGAGCUAUCAGUAUUCAGUCUAAGAAUGUAACCGUUUUCCUUUCAUACGCUGUUUUUGCACAUCGCCAUGAAGAAUGUUUCCUCUGAAUGUCUGUAAUGUUGAUGAGACAAAAGAAACCCACUGAAUCCUGGAAAACAUGUCUUAAUAAAUGAACGUUCACUGUGAA